GAACGCACAUUGCGCCCCUUGGUAUUCCGAGGGGCAUGCCUGUUCGAGCGUCAUUACACCACUCAAGCUAUGCUUGGUAUUGGGCGUCGUCCUUAGUUGGGCGCGCCUUAAAGACCUCGGCGAGGCCGCUCCGGCUUUAGGCGUAGUAGAAUUUAUUCGAACGUCUGUCAAAGGAGAGGAACUCUGCCGACUGAAACCUUUAUUUUUCUAGGUUGACCUCGGAUCAGGUAGGGAUACCCGCUGAACUUAAG
rnacentral:misc_RNA from 1 species